UUUCUUUCCCGGCUGCGAGGGAUCUUCCUGAGCAGAGCUCUCCGGCUUCCCGUGCUCGCGGGGGCCGGCGAAGGGCAGUUCAUCUCUCCUGCCCCUCCUCAGUUCCAUUGCCAUCUCCAAGAAACCACUGGUCUGCUUUCUGCCACUAUAGGUGAAACUUGAAGGGAGAAGGAGCAAGCAAGCUUGUCCUACCUCCAGCCACUAUACCAGUGGGUGCUCUGGAUUCUAAAAGACCUACAGCAACUUCCUGGGGUGCAGUCAAUGUGUGGAGUGGAAUGUGGAUGGCAAUGUGGAUGGGCAAAGAGUGAGGAGGCGUGGCCCGUGACCGGGACUGUGGACUCUCUUUGGAUGUUGGAGAAGAGUGACAAGUCAGCUGUCACUUUGAAAGUUAGUAUAAACUGGAAAUCUGACAAAUGACCAUCAUUGGUAAAUAUCUAUUCCAUUUAAUGGCAUAAUUCAUUUCUCUUCUAGAUGAGCACCCAUAGAAGAAAGACUAUCAUAGAAAUUAGUACAUUAAUAGAAACAUUUUAUCUCAUAGAAAAGAAGGGAGCAAAAAUGUUAACUUGUGGAAUAAUUGGA